rnacentral:rRNA from 1 species
UGAACGCUGGCGGCAUGCUUUACACAUGCAAGUCGAACGGCAGCGCGGGCUUCGGCCUGGCGGCGAGUGGCGAACGGGUGAGUAAUGCAUCGGAACGUGCCCAGUAGUGGGGGAUAGCCCGGCGAAAGCCGGAUUAAUACCGCAUACGACCUGAGGGUGAAAGCGGGGGACCGAAAGGCCUCGCGCUAUUGGAGCGGCCGAUGUCGGAUUAGCUAGUUGGUGGGGUACAGGCUUACCAAGGCGACGAUCCGUAGCUGGUCUGAGAGGACGACCAGCCACACUGGGACUGGGACACGGCCCAGACUCCUACGGGAGGCAGCAGUGGGGAAUUUUGGACAAUGGGGGCAACCCUGAUCCAGCCAUGCCGCGUGCGGGAAGAAGGCCUUCGGGUUGUAAACCGCUUUUGUUCGGGAAGAAAUCCUCUGGGCUAAUACCCCGGGGGGAUGACGGUACCGGAAGAAUAAGCACCGGCUAACUACGUG